rnacentral:rRNA from 1 species
AAUUUAUUUAUAUUAUUAAAUAAUUAAAUUUAAAUUAAUAAUUAAUUAUUAAUUAAAAGAUUAUAAAUAAUAAUUUAUUUAGUUUUAGUAUAAUUAAAUUUAGAAUAAAUAUUAUUAAAAUAUAUUGAUAUUGAAUUAGUAAUUAAAAUAAAAUUUUAUGUUUUUAAAUUAAGAAAAUUAAAAUUAAUUUUUUGUAUCUUGUGUAUUAGAGUUAAUUAAUUUUAUAAUAUUGAUAAAAAUAUUUUUUUCGAAAAAAAAAAAAUUAUUUAUUUAUGAGAGUUAUUGUAUUAAAAAUAUUUUAAAUAAAUAAAUGGAAAUGAAAUGUUAAUCGUUUUUUUUUAUAUCUAAUUAAUAAAGAUUUUAAUUUAAUUAAUAAUAAAUUUAAUUAUUUUUAAAAAAAAUAAAUAUUUAGUUAAAAGUUUAAUUAAAUAUUUUUGGGGAUAAGCUUAAAAAUAAACUAAAUUUUUUAUAAUUAAGAUAAGUAAUUAAUUAGAAUUUAUAUUUUUUGUUUAAUAUAAAUAUUAAUAAUUUAAUUAAAUAAUUUAUUUUUUAUUAUUUUUAAUAAAUUAGAAAUAUAUUUAUUAUAAUUUAUUAAUUUAAAUUAAUUUAUUUUAAUGAUUAAAUUAGUAAUUAUUAAUUAUUUAUUAUAAUAAUAAUAUGAAAUUUAUGUUAUAUGAAUUAGACAAAAUUAAUUUAUUAUUCAAUUGUUUAACAAAAACAUUUUUUCUUGGAUUAAUUUGAAAUAAAAUCUGCCCACUGAAAUUAUUAUUUUAAAGGGCUGCAGUAAUUUAACUGUACUAAGGUAGCAUAAUAAAUUGUUUUUUAAUUGAGAACUGGAAUGAAUGAUUAAAUGAAAUAAUAAUUUUAUUUUUUAUAAUGGAAUAAAUUUAAAUUUUGAGUGAAAAUGCUUAAUUAUAGUAAUGGGACGAGAAGACCCUAUAGAUUUUAAUAUUAUUAUAAAUAAUAAAUAUUUAUAAUAAUAUUUUAUUGGGGUGAUAAUAAAAUUUAAAAAACUUUUAUAAUUUAAUACAUUAAUUUAUGAUUAGAAAGAAUUUAUUUUAUAAUAAAUUAGAUUAAAUUACCUUAGGGAUAACAGCAUAAUUUUAGUUUAAAGUUGUUAUUAAAACUAAAGAUUAUGACCUCGAUGUUGGAUUAAGAUAAAUAUUUAAUGGAUCAAUUAUUAUAUUUAGUCUGUUCGACUAUUUAAAUCUUACAUGAUCUGAGUUCAAACCGGUUUAAGCCAGGUUGGUUUCUAUCUAUUAUAAAAUUAUAUAUUUUAGUACGAAAGGAAUUUUUUUAUUAAUUAUUUAAAAUUAUUAAUUAUUUAUUUAAG